CCUACGGGUGGCAGCAGUGGGGGAUAUUGCACAAUGGGGGAAACCCUGAUGCAGCGACGCCGCGUGAGUGAAGAAGUAUUUCGGUAUGUAAAGCUCUAUCAGCAGGGAAGAAAAUGACAGUACCUGACCAAGAAGCCACGGAUAACUACGUGCCAGCAGCCGCGGUAAUACGGAGGGGGCAAGCGUUAUCCGGAUUUACUGGGUGUAAAGGGAGCGUAGACGGCAGAGCAAGUCUGAAGUGAAAGCCCGCGGCCCAACGGGGGGACUGCUUUUGAAACUGCCCGGCUAGAGUGCUGGAGAGGUGAGCGGAAUUCCUAGUGUAGCGGUGAAAUGCGUAGAUAUUAGGAGGAACACCAGUGGCGAAGGCGACUUACUGGACAGUAACUGACGUUGAGGCUCGAAAGCGUGGGGAGCAAACAGGAUUAGAUACCCGAGUAGUC
rnacentral:rRNA from 1 species